CUAUGCACUAUUCAAUCGUCCGGAUGGUUUACCCUGUAGAAGCGUGUUUAUCUGCACAUUUCAAAAUAAGCUCGUCUCUACAGGCAGGACCUUCCAGGCUUCUAUGACCAAUCGGACA
rnacentral:precursor_RNA from 9 species